GAUGAAGAACGUAGCGAAAUGCGAUAAUUAAUGUGAAUUGCAGAAUUCAGUGAAUCAUCGAGUCUUUGAACGCACAUUGCGCCCCCUGGUAUUCCGGGGGGCAUGCCUGUCCGAGCGUCAUUGCUGCCCUCAAGCCCGGCUUGUGUGUUGGGCCUUGCUCCCCCGGGGGCAGGCCCGAAAGGCAGUGGCGGCACCGCGUCCGAUCCUCGAGCGUAUGGGGCUUUGUCACCCGCUCUGUAGGCCCGGCCGGCGCUUGCCGACACCAAUCAAUCUUUUUUCAGGUUGACCUCGGAUCAGGUAGGGAUACCCGCUGAACUUAAGCAUAUCAAUAAGCGGAGGA
rnacentral:misc_RNA from 1 species